rnacentral:rRNA from 1 species
AUACGUAGGGGACGAGCGUUGUCCGGAAUUACUGGGCGUAAAGGGCGCGCAGGCGGAUAUUUAAGUCAGCUGUAAAAGGCAUGAGCUCAACUCAUGUAUGCGGUUGAAACUGGGUAUCUAGAGUGCUGGAGAGGUAGGCGGAAUUCCCGGUGGAGCGGUGAAAUGCGUAGAUAUCGGGAAGAACACCAGUGGCGAAGGCGGCUUACUGGCCAGCAACUGACGCUGAGGCGCGAAAGCCAGGGGAGCGAACGGGAUUAGAUACCCCGGUAGUCCUGGCCGUAAACGAUGAAUGCUAGGUGUGGGUGUCGAGAGGCAUCCGUGCCGGAGUUAACGCGAUAAGCAUUCCGCCUGGGGAGUACGAUCGCAAGAUUGAAACUCAAAUGAAUUGACGGGG